rnacentral:precursor_RNA from 14 species
GCACAACACCCGCGCCUGCCGGUCGCCAUAAACCCGUAGAUCCGAACUUGCGGUCGCUCCUCGUGCAAGCUCGACUCUGUGGGUCUGUGUCGGCCUCGGCCUUGACAUCGGGACGCU